rnacentral:rRNA from 1 species
CGAACGCUGGCGGCAGGCCUACCACAUGCAAGUCGAACGGAUCCUUCGGGAUUAGUGGCGGACGGGUGAGUAACACGUGGGAACGUGCCCUUUGGUUCGGAACAACUCAGGGAAACUUGAGCUAAUACCGGAUGUGCCCUUCGGGGGAAAGAUUUAUCGCCAUUGGAGCGGCCCGCGUCUGAUUAGCUAGUUGGUGAGGUAACGGCCCACCAAGGCGACGAUCAGUAGCUGGUCUGAGAGGAUGAUCAGCCACACUGGGACUGAGACACGGCCCAGACUCCUACGGGAGGCAGCAGUGGGGAAUCUUGCGCAAUGGGCGAAAGCCUGACGCAGCCAUGCCGCGUGAAUGAUGAAGGUCUUAGGAUUGUAAAAUUCUUUCAGCGGGGACGAUAAUGACGGUACCCGCAGAAGAAGCGCCGGCUAACUUCGUG